GAGUGGGGAAGGUCACGCUGCCAGCCACUGGUGCCCAUGGCGCCCACGAGACCCAGAGGCCAGGUGGAGCAGACCACUGCGGGCACUCGGGGAGACCAGGGAGCGGGGCACAGGGAGGAGGGACGUGCAGAGAGAGGGCUGUGUGGCCCUGUGGGCAGCCGUGCUCCUGUGCCAACCUGAGGCCCAUUGGCCUGAGCUGCCAGGAAGAUGGAAUUGUUACAACCCAAGCAGGGGGCCGGGAAGGGGGCUGAGCCAGGGCAGGAGCCCCUGGGCAUCUAGCAGGAGAUGCCUGCUCAGGUGCGUUCCAGCCAGGGCAUGGCCAGGGUGCUGUUGGGAAGGGGGUUCUAGAGAGGGCCCUGGCAAAAGGCUGCCCCCCCACUCAGGGAUGCCCCAGCCCCAUGUCCCCAAGAAAGCCAGGCAGCCACUCCACAUGGUGGUUUAUGCCGGGGGACUAGGCUGUCUGUCCUGGAAGGCAGAUGUGCCCAGGAGGGGUGUCCCCCACCCGCACAGACAGAAGGGCCAGGCUGCUGCUGGAGAAAGGGGGCAUCUGAGAGGAUAAGUGCCAAUUUGGCUGGGAGGUGGGAGGGGUGGAUGCAGGGACAAGAGGGCGUGGCCCUGGGCGGGAGAGCUGCACUGCCGUCCUGGGAGGCUGGGACGCCCUGGGGGCAGGCAGCGGAUGCCCCAGUGGCUGCUGUGCUGUACGCAGCUGGAGCAAGGCAGGGCUUCCCCCACUGUCCGCAGCCCAGGGCCUCUGCCUCGCCUGGGACUGAGCAGGUGUGACACACCGCAGCUGGGGCCAGGGGUCCAGGCUGGGGGAGGAGGGAGGGUGGCCGACCACUGAGCAACCAGGUACAGCCUCCUGCAGCUCACGGCCACACCAAGGGCGUGUGGCUCCGUCCCUGCCAAGGUGAAGGCCGUGGCCCUGAUGUGGGCAUGCGGCCUCCGGUUAGCGUUUCAGCUCUGUUCCCAUGGAAACCAAAUUUGGAGACUCCAGCGACCCUGACCCCCACCUGGUGGCCUGCGUGCAAGCAGGAGAGCCACAGGAAGGUGUGUGGCCAACUCCCGCGCCCGCUCCACGCCCCCUACGUGGACACAGGCGUCCACUCUCCCCGGCGAGCGAACCCCGCAGCCAGCACCACCCUCUGCAGGUCCGUGGACGCCGACCUCAGGAUCUGACGCUCGUUCCAUGGGACCCAAGGACCCACCCUGCCCAGCGGGUCCUCCCCAGGCCAGGCACCACCACCGCUCAGGAGUUUGUCAGAGCAAAUGGGCAGCAGGCAGCUGGAAUUAGAACCCAGUGCCCCGCAGGCCACGGUGCAGCCCAGGCCUGGGCCAGGCGUCCCUCUGGAGCCCGCACCUCGGCCACGCAGGGUGUUGCUGGGCCUCUUUGUGGGGACUGAGAGCCGGCAGGGGGAACAGCACGGCUCUAAGGGUGGCCUCCCCCAUGUG
rnacentral:lncRNA from 1 species